rnacentral:misc_RNA from 1 species
UGGUUCUGGCAUNGAUGAAGAACGCAGCGAAAUGCGAUAAGUAAUGUGAAUUGCAGAAUUCAGUGAAUCAUCGAAUCUUUGAACGCAUAUUGCGCCCCUUGGCAUUCCGAGGGGCAUGCCUGUUCGAGCGUCAUCAACAUCCCCUCAAGCACUGCUUGGUUACUGGGUCUCGCGGCUCACCCUGCCCGCGGGCCUUAAAAUCAGUGGCGGCGUCUUCAGGCUCUGAACGUAGUACAACAUUCCUCGUUACGGAGUCCUGGUGGCGGUAGCCAUCAACCUUCAACCUUCUAAGUUUGACCUCGGAUCAGGUAGGGAUACCCGCUGA